rnacentral:rRNA from 1 species
AGCGUAGGUGGCCUAACAUGUCAACUGUGAAAAACCCCGGAGCUCAACUCCGGACUUGCAGUUUGAAACUGGUAGGCUUGAGGACGGUAGAGGAAGACGGAACUGCCAGUGUAGGGGUAAAAUCCUUAGAUAUUGGCAGGAACGCCGGUGACGAAGGUGGUUUUCUGGGCCGUUUCUGACACUGAUGCUCGAAAGCCAGGGGAGCGAACGG